rnacentral:lncRNA from 1 species
AAUCGCCACCGAAGAAAAUUUUGUACUCUGUUAAAUAUAAAAAUAUUUAAACACCGUUCUCUAAUAGCUUAAGCUUUUAAAGUGCAACGGUUGUUUCACAUGGUAUCAGAGCAGGAGGUCCUGAGUUCGAGUCACGCCAGACUCCUAGCAUAUUAAUUUCCUUCUAUUUAAUUCAAGCCCACGUUAUGGGCUCACUUUUAAAGUAUACAACGGUUGUUUCACAUACUCUUAACUAUUUUAUAGUAAAGCUUCUUCUUACUCUGGUCAUUAUGAACUUAGGCUUCGGCCAAACCACAUAAAUCUUGUUGUUCUAAGUUUCAUGGUUUUUGUCACUUUUCUGUGCUUUAUUUUUAUUAUCAUUCGUGUGUUGUGCUCCCACUAUUUCUCGGAUCCCAACAGGUAAUUGAAUUUUUUAGUAUGAUUGUAAGUCAGGAAUUUGAUUUUUGGUUCUUAUGAGGUCUUUUUAUCCAUAAUGUGAGAGGAUAACAUAUUUUAUCUAAAAGAUGAUUUAUCUUAUUUUCAAAAAAUAACUCAAAGGUCGAAUAGUGUAAUCCAUUCCAGACAUUUGAUUAAACUCCUUAUUUCUCAAAUAUACAGUAGUAUGACCAUGUUUGGAUGUCAGAAUAAGUUAUUUAAAAUAUGAAAACUUUUUAAUAUGAUUGUAACUAAUGACUUUAAUUUUUGUUUCUUCAAGAGUCUUGCUUGCUAUCCAUUAUUUGGUAAGCUAGCAUAUUUUAGCAACCAUGCGAUUUAUUUUAUUCUGAAAAAUAACUUGAUGGCCGAAUAUAAGAUUUUGAGGAAUGCUUCAAUACACCGGCUAAAUUAAAUCUAGCCGUUCAUAUUUUAAGGGCGAGAUUGACUUUUGCAUAAUAGUUACCUGCUCAACAGGUUACCAAAUUUCGUAAGGGUAAUAUGGAAAAACAAAUACAAGUUAAUUACCAAAUUUGAUUAACCUUACAUAAAUAUUUGUUUCCUUAUUUAAUUUUGUUACUUACCAAAUUAGAUAAUGCUAAUUUGAUAAGUAAUAAACCUUUAUAAAAUUAAAUUUAAUAUUCAAUUUGAGCUUAAAUUUUAUAAUUGUGUAAAUUCAAAUUUAAUUUUAAUUUUAAUUUAAUUAAGCAAUGGACAUGAAUUUCUCUCUCAACCAAAAAAAAAAAAAAGAAAAAAUAGCUUCAGAGGAAGAUGCCUGUGGGUGAAAACUUUCCAAAAAUAGAAUGAGAUAUUUUAUAAUUUCUAAAGGGGCAUUAUGGGAAUAAAAAUAGAAAUUUACAAAAAAAAAGCCUUUCAUGCUAAUUUUACAUACGAGGAAAUAGUUUGCUCUUGGUAAGAGGGUGACUGGUAGCUAAGGUAACAAAAAAAGCCAGUCAUCCUCUUAACUAAAUGACAUCUCCACCAUUCAUUUUAAAAAAUUUAGGGGCCGAAAUCUUUUUGGUGCAUAAGAGCAUUGCUCUUUUACUAAAAGGAAGGAAAGGAAGAAAAUCUUGAGAAACAAACGAAAAUAAUUG